rnacentral:siRNA from 1 species
CAUAAACUUGCCAACUUCCUU